UUUUAACUCAGCUCAACAUCUGAUCCUUAGUCCUCUGCCAGUGCUCCCCAAUGUAUGCCCAUAUUGGCUGUCAACUCCUGGACCUCACCUCUAUUCAAUUCCCUCAUUCUGGACAGGCCUGGAUGGAGCACAAGUAGAGAAUGGUGCAGGAUCGUCGUCGGAUUUGCUGGCUAUACCCGGGGCUGAGGACAAUACUACAAUACUACAACCCGUAGUUUAAGGAUUCUCUGAGAGUGAGGCUCCCGAUAUGCUGGGGAAGAGCCAGUAACCUGGAAUGACGAUGAUGAAAACAAAUUAAAGAAAUUGAAAGAAGAAUUAGUAACUGCCCCAGUACUCAGUACUUCUCUUUCAUCAAGAAAUCUCAGGCCUUGUUUAUAACAGUAGUGAUUUGUGGAGGCACAGGAGCCAAAGGCAGUGAUGGUGUGGAAGGAGGCCUCUAAGGUAUGAACUCAAAGCAUGAAAGGAAGGUAUUCCCCCACAUAAAGAUAGUAAGAAAAAGCUUUUCCCGUAGUUCUUUGCACCCCCAUUUUACUUUACUCCAGGUAUAUGUAGCCAUUUAGUCUUGAGCUGUCAUUCCCCUUUUUACCUUACAUGUCCUCUCCCUAGAAAGUUCUCCCUUCCCUGUUUCUCCAUUAGCCCUAGU